CUGGGGCCCGAACCCGGGCGCGCUCCUCCCCGGCCACGGCCCACGGCGCGGGGCUGUCCAAGAGCAACGUGGAGCCUCCGCCUGGAAAAGAAGUCCGACUUCCUCUCCACGCUGCUCCGGUGCAAUCUGGAAUCGGCAGGAAAUGGCUCGAACACCCAUCCCGCGCCUUUGCCGUCAGGCCUCGCUUUGCUGAAGGGAAGCGGCUCCCACCAAAGUCUUGCCACCCCCUCCCCCCCGAAAGACCCGCGCAGAUUGAAGUUCGUCUGUCCUUCAGAAAAAGCAUUUUCAUAAUUAUUAAAAACACCACAUCACGACUAGCAUUUUUAUUUCUCUUCAGGUAGAUAAAUGAUUGGUGUAGGUAAUUUUUUAAAAUUUUAAACAAGAUUAGUACAACCCUACUCAAGGAGUUUAGUGGACGGGAGAGGGUUUCCAAACCCAUAAAUGCAGUCCAUAUAAAAUUGUAAUAUCAAAGGUUUUUUGUAUAGAAACUUGGGAAUUAACACAUUUUACAUGAAUAUAAAAACAUGUCUUAAAGGGGUUCUUCCACACUAUUUCCCUCUUUCAGAAAAACAUCAGAGACUGUUUUCCAUUCUCUAGAACCACUAUAAUCAUGUAUAAGAAGAUUAUUACAUAACAACAUUUCUGUCAAGAUGGUGGAUACUUUUGAAUGUAUUCGAAGGAAAAAGAAUAUUCUUGGCCCUUGAUAUGUUGGAGGUACUUGAAAAGGCAAGAAGUUUGUAAAAAUAUUUUACUACUGUAAUCUAUAAGACCAUUAAAAUGCGCAAGUAGUUAUAUUC